AUUGAGAAAGGUCUACGCGACUUCUUAAACUGUAAAACGCUGUCGUCUUGACUGCCCUGCGCCAUGGCGGGCAACCACAACCACCACGUACUCCAGCUAGUGCUAUCGUGCCGGCGAAUCACCGCCCAGGUGACGAACACCACCACCUCAUCCAUCAUAGCCAUGGCCUCCUCUUCCGAGCACGAGUUCCUCGCCCACUACCGCGCCCACCUCAACCGCGUCCCAAGAUCCCACCGCUUCUGGGACGCCAAAGUCGCCUCUCGCGUCGGCGAAAAGCUAGGGUUCCGCCUCAGGGAAAUCGGCGUCACCGGUGUUCACAUUGACCCUCGCGAUGAGCUUUCGCGCCCCGUCCACUACCGCCUGAUGGUUUCCCCCCUGUUCGAUUCCAUCAAACGCGCCGGCGUCGAGGUCUCCGGCGUUGACGGUUUCCCUUUGUGCGUCACACCUUCCAAUUGAAUAGAAGAAGAGAUGGAGAAAGAUGGGUUUGAUGUACUCACAACCCACUGUCUUGAUAUAGUCUGCACAUGCUUGCUUCUCUUCUCUUUGUUGUUGGUGGGGUGGUUGUGGUGAUUUAGGCUAUGGUGUGGGCCAAGAUGGGAACAUUGGAGGCUCAGGGGUUUGCGUUAAGUUUGCUAGACGUGGGGCUUACUAUCCCACCGCAGGUGACGCGAUGGGCUUCGAUGGCAGUUGAAAUGACGACGGGGGACAAAUCUGGUGGUGGUGGUGGUGGGUUUCUUGUGAUGUGAGCGUUGAUUGUGUCGGAACGAUUGGGGUCAAUGGUGUAGGUGGGGGGAAAGUGAACGUCGUGAUGACUGGGUAUGAGGGUGCGAUUAUCCUUGGAGGCGGUGCAGGCGAGGAGGCUGAGAGCGUUGGUGUCGAGGUGGUGAUGGUGGUGGCAGCGACGGUGGUGGCGAGGAUGCGGUGACUGGAUAUGAUUCCGGUGAGAACAAAGUGCGGAAAUACUUCACAAGCGAGCUUCUGCAUGAGCAAGAAGUUGGUGAUGUGAAACCAAAUAGGGCUCUUUACCUGAAUCAUCACCACCAGUACAAUUUGGAUUCAGCCAUAUAGAACAUCGACCUGGUGCUAGAAUCCCAACUGCAUAGCCACCCAUGCUAUAAGACAAUGGUUCAUUCAAAGUAAUCCAAUGCUUCACCCUAUCUCCAAAUUUCUUGAAACAAAGCUCCGCGUAGUCUCGAAAAUCAUGCCUGAAAAUCAAUCAUGAAUUAUGACAUGUUAAAUUUGAAAAUCAAUCAUGCAGAGGCAUGGGUGAUGCAUAACAUUUUUGUAUGUUUACUUUUAUAAUAGCUUAAUUUGGGUGGAAA